rnacentral:ncRNA from 2 species
UUUAUUCACUAGGGGAGCCGGCACCGGCUGAGAGAAGCAAUGUUUCGACCCUUUGAACCUGAUCUGGAUUAUACCAGCGUAGGGAAGUGGAGCUUGUUUUAA